UGGGAUGGCCUCGCGGCCUAUCAGCUUGUUGGUGGGGUAACGGCCUACCAAGGCGACGACGGGUAGCUGGUCUGAGAGGACGAUCAGCCACACUGGGACUGAGACACGGCCCAGACUCCUACGGGAGGCAGCAGUUAGGAAUCUUGCGCAAUGGGCGAAAGCCUGACGCAGCAACGCCGCGUGGGGGAUGAAUGCUCUCGGGUUGUAAACCCCUUUCAGCGGGGACGAUUAUGACGGUACCCGCAGAAGAAGGACCGGCCAACUACGUGCCAGCAGCCGCGGUAAUACGUAGGGUCCAAGCGUUGUCCGGAUUUAUUGGGCGUAAAGAGCUCGUAGGCGGUUUCGUAAGUCGGAUGUGAAAACUCAGGGCUCAACCCGGAGACGCCAUCCGAUACUGCGAUGACUUGAGUCUGGUAGGGGAACACGGAAUUCCUGGUGUAGCGGUGAAAUGCGCAGAUAUC
rnacentral:rRNA from 1 species